rnacentral:misc_RNA from 1 species
AUUUCAUUACAGUACAGUACAGACAAACAUAUAUAGAAGGGCAUACGCUCAUACAAAAAGUGUCAUAUCAUCACUCUGAAUCUGCUGGUAUAACAAAUUUAACAAAGUUUAUUUCAUCAAAGGCAAGGAAUUUUCCUAAGAGGAAGGUUUCAUUUCUGUCUUAAUUGCAGCAACCAGCUGGUCAUAAGCUUCACCCCAUGCAAUUUUCAUUUCUGGUGACCACAGCUCUGGUACUGCUUCCUUUAUGGUCUCCAAUAGUGCAAACUUUGUUACCUCAAAAUGUUCGUCAACAACUCCGUAUUUGAAGUGGACAGCUCCCAAUUUUUUUAAGCUGGAUUCUCUUACAGUAACUUUGCCAGCUUUCCUCAGUUGAACUGCUGAUUCACAAGUCAUGAUAAAGACAGACAUGGCGUGAGGCUUGAGUUUUG